UGCCACUGAAUCAAUAAGAUUCACCAUUUCUUAUGUACUGCUAAGAAAACAAUAACCUGCUAAUUAAAAUGAGUCUAUCAAUUGUAAAAUAUAUUCCAGUUUCAGAGAUGUUAAAUAAUGUGUAGCUCAGAGUAACAUACAAUAACUAAAAACAUGUCUUUUUUUUUCUUUCAUGCCUCCAAGACAAGUUCGAAUUUAGUUUAUUUUUAAAUAAUGUAAAUGAGUGUUACAAAUUUCACAGGAAUCAACAGCACUUUUAAGAUGAGUUGGGCAUCUUGUCCCUCCCUAUCCAAACAUAUACAUUCUCCCCUCUCCUCUUAACCCUUCUAAAUAUAUCUACUCUUCCUAGUUUUCUGCUCCUUAUUAUGAAAAUAGCCCUCCCCAUCUUAAUUUCUCUUCAUUUCUUAGUCCAUUUGGGCUAUUAUAACAAAAAUACCACAGACUAGGUGGCUUAAACAACACUUACUCCUCACAGUUCUGGAGAUGGGGGGAGGUCAAGGUCAAGGUGCUGGUAUAUUAGUGUGUGGUGAGGGCCUGCUUCCUGCUUUGUAGACAGCCAUUUUCUUGCCGUGUCCUCACAUGGUGGAAAAGGGAGACAGCUCCCCAGGGCCUCUUUUAUAAGGGCACUAAUCCCAUUCAUGAGGGGCUCCACCCUCAAAACCCAAUCAUCUCCCAAAGGCCCUACCUCCUAACAGUUAGUCCUAGGAGUCAGGAUUUCAACACAUGAAUUUUGGGGGUCGAAUACAUUCAGUGUCUAACACUUCCUUAAACCUGUUUCUUAAUGUGUGCUCUUUGCAGGAGCUGAAUACAAUGAAUGUAGUUUUUGGUGAAGAGGAUGGCGAGGGGGAGAAACAUGGACUUUGGGAAGAAGAAUGUGGUAUGACAUGAAAUCUGAAGGUGAGGUAUCGCUCAUCUAAGACUGGUUAAGUCCAUGGCUCAGCUGUUAUCAAGGAUCCAGCUUCUUCCCAACUUUCCUCUCUGUUUUCUUCAGCUAGCACCCCUUGAAAUCUUAAGACAGCUGUCUCUGUUCUGGUGUCAUAAUCCCUAUUAUAAGACUGUAAUAAAGAUUAAAAAUAGAUUUAAAAUGCAUAGACACAAUCCUAGCAUUCAGCAGGUGCUCAACCUGAGAUAUUCUGAUCUUGCCAAACUCCAAAUGUGAUGUCUUUGCUUAUAAUUGGCAGGAGGAGCCCCAUGCUCUUUAGGCGCAUUACCAAAUCACCUAGUAUUUUGAGUUCAGCAAGCACAACUCAGAAGAAAUGCUUUUUUUUUUUUUUUUUUUUUUUAUAAGAGACAAGGCUCUGUUGCCCAGGCUGGAGUGCAGUGGCACAAUCAGGACUCACUGCAACCUCGAAUUCAUGGGCUCCAGUGAUCCUCUUGCCUCAGACUCUCAAGUAGCUGGGACUCCAGGUAUGCACCUCCAUGCCUGGCUAAUUUAAAAAUUUUUUGUAAAGAUGAGAUCUUGCUAUGUUGCCAAGGCUGGUCUCAAACUCCUGAACUCAAGUGAUCCUCCUGCCUUGGCCUCCCAAAGUGCCGAGAUUCAAGGUGUGAGCCACUGCACCCGGCCUGAAGAAAUCCUUGCACGUAACCCCCCAGUGGUUAUGCUUAUAAGAAACUAGUCAGUGAACUAAGACAAUUAUGCUGAAACUCAGGAAACCUAUUAAAACAGGGGACAGUCAUUUAACAUCUCGGGGUCUGAAUUCCUAAAGUUCUACAAUUGGAUCAAGUUAAAACACCAAAAGGCUAUAUACUUGACCUAUAUUAUCUCACCAACAGAUAAAAAUUGAGUUCUGGCCGGGUGCGGUGGCCCACACCUGUAAUCCCAGCACUUUGGGAGGCCGAGGUGGGUGGAUCACGAGGUCAGGAGAUCGAGACCAUCUUGGCUAAUACAGUGAAACCCAGUCUCUACUAAAAAUACAAAAAAUUAGCAGGGUGUGGUGGCAUGCACCUGUAGUCCCAGCUACUU
rnacentral:lncRNA from 1 species